ACAGGAAACCAUAAGGGCGUACGGUGGAUGCCUUGGCUUGAAGAGGCGAUGAAAGACGUAGCACGACUGCGAUAAGCUUCGGGGAGGUGUCUAGCAACCUUUGAUCCGGAGAUCUCUGAAUGGGGAGACCCGGCCGAAUAAACUUCGGUCACCUUGCGAUAUGCAGGGAGCGUACCCAGGGAAUUGAAACAUCUUAGUACCUGGAGGAAAAGAAACCAAUAUGCGGGUCCUGUACUGUGGUGGCACUUGUGUCGCUACGGUACAAGAUCCCGGCAUUUCCUGAGUAGCGGCGAGCGAAACGGAAGGAGCCCAAACCGGGCGCAUCACAGUGCAUGUGAUGUCGCGUAUGAGAAUGCGUAUGGGUAUGGGGGAAGCCAAACAGCAGAGCUGUUUGGCCGACGCAUACGCAUACGAAACCCUCAUACGCGGACAUCGCGCGUAGUGUGAUGCGUCCGGGGUUGUAGGGCGGCAGUGUCGGAAACGAGGAGAGUCAAAAAAUGUAUCUGUUAGUAAAACACUUUGGAAAGAGUGGCCCCAGCGGGUAACAGCCCCGUAUACGAAAACAGAUACGCCUCUCUUGCUGUCGUUCCUGAGUAGCGUCGGACAUGAAUAGCUGGCGCGAAUCCGGGUGGACUAACACCCAAGGCUAAAUACUCUUCAAGACCGAUAGUGAACUAGUACCGUGAGGGAAAGGUGAAAAGAACCCCGAGAGGGGAGUGAAAUAGAUCUGAAACCGUACGCUUACAAGGAGUCGGAGCGGACAUCACAGUGCAUGUGAUGUCGCGUAUGAGAAUGCGUAUGGGUAUGGGGAAGCCAAACAGCAGAGCUGUUUGGCCGACGCAUACGCAUACGAAACCCUCAUACGCGGACAUCGCGCGUAGCGUGAUGUCCGUGACGGCGUGCCUAUUGAAGAAUGAGCCGGCGAGUUUACGUAUGUGGCUGCCUAAGAGGAAACCCUCGGAGGCAUAGGGAAACCGAGUCUGAAUAGGGCGAAACAUUAAGUCGCAUGCGUAAGACCCGAAGCGAGGUGAGCUUACCAUGAGCAGGGUGAAGCGACCGUAACAGGUCGUGGAGGCCCGAACCGGUGCGCUGUACGACACGCUCGGAUGACUUGUGGUAAGGAGUGAAAAGCUAAUCGAACCUCGCAAUAGCUGGUUCUCUCCGAAAUAGCUUUAGGGCUAGCGUCGUGCGUUCCCUCUGGGGGUAGAGCACUGGAAGGUCUGAACAGGGAGAAAUCUCGUCAGACCUAUCAAACUCCGAAUACCAGAGACUAAAAGCACGGCAGUCAGAGUGUGGGGGCUAAGCUCCACUGCUCGAAAGGGAAACAGCCCAGAUCGCCAGUUAAGGUCCCUAAAUCCAUGCUAAGUAGCAAACUAAGGAGGUGGAAUUUCUGUGACAAUCAGGAGGUUGGCUUAGAAGCAGCCAUCCUUUAAAGAUAGCGUAACAGCUCACUGAUCCAGAGAUUCUGCGCCGAAGAUGAUCGGGGCUAAGUAUGGUACCGAAACUGCGGAUGUCGUUCGCAUCUCAUUACAUUCGAUACAAACACGUAUGGCAAUGCGUAUGGGUAUGGGGAGCCAAAACAGCGGAGCUGUUUUGGCCGCAUACGCAUACCAGUCCCCCAUACGCGCGAGAUAUCGAGCGUAGCGAGAUGCGAGCGGCGUGGUAGGAGAGCGUUCCAUUCUGCUGUGAAGCCAAAGGGGUAACCCAUGGUGGAGCGUAUGGAAGUGAGAAUGCCGGCGCGAGUAACCGCAAUGCAUGUGAGAUCCAUGCACGUCGAAAUUCCGAGGUUUCCUUGGCCAUGUUGAUCAGCCAAGGGUUAGUCGGGCCUAAGGGUAUCCCGAAAGGGGGACUCGAUGGACAGAUGGUUAAUAUUCCAUCACCUCUUAUAUGUGCGAAGGAGGGACGGAGUGUAGUACUUCAGGCGACUUAUCGGCUUGUCGUCCGUGCCGUGAGGAGGGUGUCUAGGUAAAUCCGGGCGCCACAUACUCCAAGCGGAGCGGGAAGUUAACGGGUUCGCCCAAUGACAAUUUGAAGGAGCACGCUUCCAAGAAAAGCUUCUAAGCUCUAGCAUAUGAGAGUCCGUACCUAAACCGACACAGGUGGAAAGGUCGAGAAGACCAAGACGAACGAGUGAUUGCUCCCCAAGGAACUCGGCAAAAAAGCGGCCGUAACUUCGGGAUAAGGCCUGCCAGUCGCAUCACACUGCGUGUGAUGCGCGUAUGCGGGAUUCGUAUGGGUAUGUGGGAGCCAAACAGCAAAGCUGUUUGGCCGACGCAUACGCAUACGCUUUCCCCAUACGCGCAUCGCGCUUGGCGCGAUGCGACUGGCCGCAGCGAAAGAUUGCCUGGCGACUGUUUACCAAAAACACAGCUCCCUGCGAACUCGUAAGAGGAUGUAUAGGGGGUGACACCUGACCAAUGCCAGAAGGUCAAUCACUGUUGGUGUAGUGUCGCAAGAUGCUAUGCUGGACGGUGCAAGCCCUGGUCAAUGUCAGCGAUAACUAUAAUCGUUCUAAGGUUACGCGUGUCUCAUUUUUUGAGGUGCGCGGAAGGACUAGAACGAUUAUAGGUGGGUACACAGAAACAACAUACAUCAUUACACAAAAGCUACCUUUGUAUUUGGCAACAGAUACAUAGUCCAGCUCACGGCUACAUAGAGACCAUACGCCGUGCUCCGCAACAGUAUUGUUGCGGAUGAAGAUAUGGCCCUUCGUGAGGAAUAGAAGAGCGAAAUUCCUUGUCGGGUAAGUUCCGACGCGCACGAAUGGUGUAACGACUAGGCAACUGUCUCGGGGAGUAGCUCGGUGAAAACGCAAUACCGGUAAAGAUGCCGGUUACCCGCGGCAAGACAGAAAGACCCCAUGGAGCUUUACUGCAGCUUCGUAUUGGGUUUGCGUGUUUACUGCGUAGAAUAGGUGGGAGACUUUGAAGCGUUCCUCUUGGGGAGCGUGGAGUCGACAGUGAAAUACCACUCUGUAAAUGUGCAAAUUCUAACCUGCUAGAGAAAAACUCUAGAGAGACAGUGCGUGGCAGGCAGUUUUACUGGGGCAGUACCCUCCUAAAGAGUAAUGGAGGGGUUCAAAGGUUGGCUAGGCGCGAAUGGAAACCGUGCCGAUAGUGUAAGAGCAAAAGCCAGCUUGACUGCAAGGGGUACAUCCCGAGCAGGUACGAAAGUAGAAUCUAGUGAACCGACAGUGCGCAUUAGAUGCGGCUGGAGAUUAUCGGAUAAAAGUUACCCUGGGGAUAACAGGCUAGUUCCGCCUAAGCGUCCAGAGCGACGGCGGAGUUCGGCACCUCGAUGUCGGCUCACCACAUCCUGGGGGUGGAGAAGCUCCCAAGGGUUUGGCUGUUCGCCAAUUAAAGUGGUACGCGAGCUGGGUUCAGACCGUUCAGGAGUUUAUACGUAGACUGUUGAACUGUCUGAACCCGCAUUUGAGAGUUUUCGUUUUUCUGUCUUAUGCCGUUGUUUGCACAGGUGUGCAAACAAAAAAAGUGUAGAGUCCAAUCAUAUCACGGCGGUCCCAAACACUUUGUGUUUGGAGCAAAAGUUGACUUAUAUCGGUAAAACCUUAGUCCGAGUAUGCGUAUGAAGUAUGCGUAUGAGGAAAGGCAAUACCGAGGGAAGCUGGCAGCUCGCUUAGGCGACUGCACUUGGAUUUUCUAAAGCAAAGCUAAGAAAAUCUCAGCGGCAGCUCGCUCACGCGACUGUACUUGGAUGUUCUGAUAUGAACAUCUCAGCGCCCGUAGAGACUGAACGUCAGCUAUUCUGAUCUCGCAAGAGGGAAGAAUAAAAUUACAGUCCAUCUCGUGUGGUAACACAUGAAAAAGAGCGUGAGACAGGUUGGUUCUCUAUCUGCCGUGGGCGUUGAUUCUUGAGGAGAUUUGUCCCUAGUACGAGAGGACCGGGAUGAACUGACCUCUGGUGUAUCGGCUGUCACGCCAGUGGCACCGCCGAGUAGCUAUGUCGGGAACGGAUAACCGCUGAAAGCAUCUAAGCGGGAAGCCAACUCCAAGAUUAGGAAUCGUUUGAGACCCGUAGGAGACGACUACGUUGAUAGGCACUAGGUGGAAGCACAGUGAUGUGUUGAGCCGAGGUGUACUAAUUCGUCGAGUUUCCUGUUG
rnacentral:rRNA from 1 species